rnacentral:rRNA from 1 species
UGAGCAAUCUGCCCUUGACAUCGGAAUAACCAUUGGAAACGAUGGCUAAUACCGAAUAUGACUUCGGAUCGCAUGAUCUGAAGUGGAAAGCUCCGGCGGUGAAGGAUGAGCUCGCGGCCUAUCAGCUAGUUGGUGAGGUAAUAGCUCACCAAGGCAACGGACGGGUACGCCGGCCUGGAGGAGGGUCGGACCCGGCCACACGUGGGACUGAGACCGACCGGCCCAGACC